rnacentral:rRNA from 1 species
GACGAACGCUGGCGGCGUGCUUAACACAUGCCAGUCGAACGGAAAGGCCCCUUUGGGGGUACUCGCGUGGCGAACGGGUGAGUAACACGUGAGUAACCUGCCCUUCACUUCGGGAUAACUUCAGGAAACUGGGGCUAAUACCGGAUAGGAAUCCUUGCUGCCUGGUGGGGGUUGGAAAGCUUCGGCGGUUUUGGAUGGACUCGCGGCUUAUCAGCUUGUUGGUGGGGUAGUGGCUUACCAAGGCUUUGACGGGUAGCCGGCCUGAGAGGGCGACCGGCCACAUUGGGACUGAGAUACGGCCCAGACUCCUACGGGAGGCAGCAGGGGGGAAUAUUGCACAAUGGGCGGAAGCCUGAUGCAGCAACGCCGCGUGCGGGAUGACGGCCUUCGGGUUGGAAACCGCUUUCAGCAGGGGAGAAGCUUGUGGUGACGGUACCUGCAGAAGAAGCACCGGCUAACUACGUG